GAUGAACGCUGGCGGCGUGCCUAAUACAUGCAAGUCGAGCGAACAGACGAGGAGCUUGCUCCUCUGACGUUAGCGGCGGACGGGUGAGUAACACGUGGAUAACCUACCUAUAAGACUGGGAUAACUUCGGGAAACCGGAGCUAAUACCGGAUAAUAUAUUGAACCGCAUGGUUCAAUAGUGAAAGACGGUUUUGCUGUCACUUAUAGAUGGAUCCGCGCCGCAUUAGCUAGUUGGUAAGGUAACGGCUUACCAAGGCAACGAUGCGUAGCCGACCUGAGAGGGGGAUCGGCCACACUGGAACUGGGACAGGGUCCAGGCUCCUGCGGGAGGCAGCAGUAGGGAAUCUUCCGCAGUGGGCGAGAGCCUGGCGGAGCAGCGCCGCGUGAGUGGUGAAGGUCUUCGGAUCGUAAAACUCUGUUAUUAGUGAAGAACAACUGUGUAAGUAACUAUGCACGUCUUGACGGUACCUAGUCAGAAAGCCACGGCUAACUACGUG
rnacentral:rRNA from 1 species